ensembl:snRNA U2 U2 spliceosomal RNA
GUCACUUCUCUGUCUUUUGGCUAAGACCAAGUGUAGCACCUGUUCUUAUCAGUUUAAUAUCUGAUAUGUCCUCUUUAUGAGGACUACAUAUUAAAUAGACUUUUAGAACAGGGAGACAGAGGGGAGCUUGCUUCGUGCUCUCCAGGCAUCGACCUGGUUUUGCAGCACCUCUGGUGUACCUCCU